UACGCCUAUAUCACGUUAAAAUACCGGUUCUCGUACGAUCACCGAAGUUAAGCAAUGUUGAGCCUGGUCAGUAAUUAGAUUGGGAAUACCAGGUGAUGUA